UAGAUCAAAGAGAGGCACUAAUAGAGUAUAGCAAGCUGCUCGUAAGAUAGCAAUAACAAGCUUACCAACCAAUAGCUACAAUACCACAUUCCACCAGUCAUAUUGAUUUGAUUAGCUUACUGUUCGCGACAAAUUUCGUGUACGGAAAUUAAUAACUGCAAUCACGAAACAAAUGUAAAGAAAAAUGCUUUUUUUAAUAAAACUUGUGAGUACAACUCUGUGUAUNNNN
rnacentral:lncRNA from 1 species